CCCCCCCCAAACCAAAAAAAAGAAAGAAAAAAAAUCAUCUCCAAUACAGAAGAAGAAAUAAAAAUAGAAAAAUCAUGGUCUUUGCAUAAAUUUUAGCAGUAUUAAUCAUAUUUUUCAUUUGUCUUCGGAUGUUGCAGGCCCUUGAAGACUCUCCUGAAGAACAACCCAGUGCUAGCCCUCAACCCUGCAUUAAUUCUGACGAUAGCUCUUCUGAAUACAACGAGAACUUUCUGGAUGAUGUGUAUGAGGAAGAAAGUUGGUCCUCCGACUCAGACAGC
rnacentral:lncRNA from 1 species